rnacentral:rRNA from 1 species
GUAGACGGCAGCACAAGUCUGGAGUGAAAUGCCGGGGCUUAACCCCGGAACUGCUUUGGAAACUGUGCAGCUAGAGUUCUAAAGAGGAUCGUGGAAUUCCAUGUGUAGCGGUGAAAUGCGUAGAUAUAUGGAGGAACACCAGUGGCGAAGGCGACGAUCUGGGAAGAAACAGACGCUGAGUCCCGAAAGCGUGGGGAGCAAAUAG